rnacentral:tRNA from 1 species
GGAAGAUACCGCUAAGUGGCUGGCAACCGGCGUCGAAUACCGGGGCGGGGUAACUCCUGGGGGUUCGAUUCCUCUAUCUUCCGC